UCCAUAAUGGUCCCUCAUAUAGCCCUUACAAUUGGUUAAACUUGGCCCUGCCAAAUGGUACAUGCUUCCAUAAAUAUCACGAGUCUGACUGCUACUACCACUCUCCACCAAGUUGGUUGGUUUACUAUUGGUUGGAGAUCGAUGAAAAGAAGCAGGAAGGGUCCUCUUCAGAGCUUGUUGAGAAGAAAGUUUCUCAUAAUCUGUACCAGAAACAUUAGCAAUUCGAGAAUUAACGGUCCGAGGUUGACCCAUAUUCCCAUUUCCAGC
rnacentral:misc_RNA from 1 species